GUAGGUGGCAAGCGUUGUCCGGAAUUAUUGGGCGUAAAGCGCGCGCAGGCGGUUCUUUAAGUCUGAUGUGAAAGCCCACGGCUCAACCGUGGAGGGUCAUUGGAAACUGGGGGACUUGAGUACAGAAGAGGAAAGCGGAAUUCCAAGUGUAGCGGUGAAAUGCGUAGAGAUUUGGAGGAACACCAGUGGCGAAGGCGGCUUUCUGGUCUGUAACUGACGCUGAGGCGCGAAAGCGUGGGGAGCAAACAGGGAUUAGAUACCCUGGUAGUCCACGCCGUAAACGAUGAGUGCUAAGUGUUAGGGGGUUUCCGCCCCCUUAGUGCUGCAGCUAACGCAUUAAGCACUCCGCCUGGGGAUACGGCCGCAAGGCUG
rnacentral:rRNA from 1 species